CCAAGCCCAGGGUUCUGGGCAGGGGGCCCUGUGCGGCUGCCUGAGUUGCACCCGCUUGAAGCCGGCCCAGUUCAGACCCUGGUUGGCUCUCUCUAUCCCGUCAACCUGUUCAGACUUGCCGAAUCCACUUGACGUUCAGAAAUCUUCUAUUUCAACUCUGGAAGUGAUAUUGUCUCCUCUCCUGGCCAAAGAAACAGCGCACUCAGCUUUCAGGGAAUGGAGAAUUCAGAAGGAGUGGCUCUAUGUAUAUUUCCUUCAGGUUCUUUGCAUCACUGCUAAUUAAAUAUUCAAGCAGCAUUUCUCUCUUCUUUGGGCAUUUUCUACCUCACAAACAUAAACCCUUAUUUAGCAUUGUUCUGUUAUUCAGGUGAAUUGGAUUAUUAUUGUUUUGUAAGAUUUCAAGAUGGAUGUUGUGGUCACCAGCUAAGCAAAUCUAUCUAGAUGAUUCAAGUCUAAGAAAAGAUUUCUGAAAAUUUCAAGAGGAUAAAAACAUCAGAAAGCAACAAGGUUCAUUUCAAAGGAGGUAUUAAAUCCACUCCAGAGGAAUUUAUUUUAACAAAUGGAUUUAUCACAGCAAAUAAUAAGCUUUGUGUGCUAUUAUGGGGUAGGUGCUAUGUGGCAUUCAUCAAUGGGCAGGACACAGCCUACUCCCUCAGGAAUUUAUAAUCUAGUGGAGAGAAUGGGAAUUUCCAUCCAUGGUUCUAAUAAAGGGAGCAGAAAAGCAGAAAUCCAGGAAGGUUUCCUGACAGGGAGUUGGAGCUGAGUCUCAAAUGACUUUACCAAGUAGAGACAGGCGGUUGGAAAGGGUACUUCAGGAAGUGAAGGCCGGAGGCGCGGAAGCCGGGGCAUGCUUGGAUGGGUCAAACACUCUGAUUACAGAGGAAUAUGCAGUAUUUGCAAAGGAGGUGUCGGAAAUAAAGCUGCAAAACUUGGCUUGGACAAGACCAAAAGGGGACUCUAAAGCCAAGCGGAGGGAUGAACGCUACAGGAAGCAAGGUCUAAGUGUGUCUUUGGCUUGGAGCUAUAAGAAGAGAAAACACGCGAGAGAGGGAGAGCCGUGA
rnacentral:lncRNA from 1 species